rnacentral:lncRNA from 1 species
AAAAAUAGUUAAUUCCACUACGCGAUUGAAUGAUUUUGACGUUUGUGGUUCAACGUAUAUUGUAAUUCAUAAUAGAAAUAUAUCAUAAUGACAUAUAAUAGAACAAUAUCAUACUGACGGGAUCUUUUUAAAGUACAGAGUCACGUUAUAAGAACAAAAGAAAUACAAAAAGUCGCAAAUACAAAACAAACCACAAAAAAAUGAAAGCCAAUACAAACACAUUGACGAGAUGUAUAAGUACCGAGCCACGUGAAACGGAUAUCACAUGAAACCAUUCAACAGUAAAAGUAAUAUUAAUAAUAGAACAAAGACAAAUGAAAGAACUAUAAAACACGUUGUUAAGAUGAUAAACAACAUCAGUACGAAG